AUUGAACGCUGGCGGCAGGCCUAACACAUGCAAGUCGAGCGGAACGGCGGACGGGUGAGUGAUGCCUAGGAAUCUGCCUGGUAGUGGGGGAUAACGUCCGGAAACGGGCGCUAGUACCUCAUACUAUCAGAUGAGCCUAGGUCGGAUUAGCUAGUUGGUGGGGUAAAGGCCUACCCAGGCGACGAUCCGUAACUGGUCUGAGAGGAUGAUCAGUCACACUGGAACUGAGACACGGGCCAGACUCCUACGGGAGGCAGCAGUGGGGAAUAUUGGACAAUGGGCGAAAGCCUGAUGCAGCCAUGCCGCGUGUGUGAAGAAGGCCUUCGGAUUGUAAAGCACUUUAAGUUGGGAGGCGUUACCAGCAGAAGAAGCACCGGCUAACUUCGUGCCAGCAGCCGCGGUAAUUC
rnacentral:rRNA from 1 species